CUCCUACGGGAGGCAGCAGUGGGGAAUUUUGCGCAAUGGGGGAAACCCUGACGCAGCAACGCCGCGUGGAGGAUGAAGUAUCUUGGUACGUAAACUCCUUUCGAUGGGGAAGAUAAUGACGGUACCCACUAGAAGAAGCCCGGCUAACUUCGUGCCGAGCAGCCGCGGUAAUAC
rnacentral:rRNA from 1 species